rnacentral:rRNA from 1 species
UACGUAGGGGGCGAGCGUUGUUCGGAUUUACUGGGCGUAAAGGGCGCGUAGGCGGCGUGACAAGUCACUUGUGAAAUCUCCGGGCUUAACCCGGAGCGGCCAAGUGAUACUGUCGUGCUAGAGUGCGGAAGGGGCUACUGGAAUUCUCGGUGUAGCGGUGAAAUGCGUAGAUAUCGAGAGGAACACCUGCGGCGAAGGCGGGUAGCUGGGCCGACACUGACGCUGAUGCGCGAAAGCCAGGGGAGCGAACGGG